rnacentral:misc_RNA from 1 species
UUUCCGUAGGUGAACCUGCGGAAGGAUCAUUAAAAUGAGAAUCGGUUCGCGCUGCGUGGGGUAAAAUCCUCGUAGCGCGUUACCGUCAACCUCUACCCUUGUAUAUUAUUCAAUUGUUGCUUUGGCAGGCCGCGAGCCUUUACGGUGAGCACCGGCUUCGGCUGGAGAGUGCCUGCCAGAGGACCCCAACUCUGUAUUAUAUGAAGUCUGAGUACUAUUAAAUAGUUAAAACUUUCAACAACGGAUCUCUUGGUUCUGGCAUCGAUGAAGAACGCAGC